AACUCCAGUGGCUCAGUGGUUAGAGUGUCCGCCUCGGAUGCGGGAAUUCGCGGGUUCGAACACCCGCGGAGUCA